UACGGAGGGUGCAAGCGUUAAUCGGAAUUACUGGGCGUAAAGCGCGCGUAGGCGGUUUGUUAAGUCGGAUGUGAAAGCCCCGGGCUCAACCUGGGAAUUGCAUUCGAUACUGGCCGACUAGAGUACGAGAGAGGGAGGUAGAAUUCCACGUGUAGCGGUGAAAUGCGUAGAUAUGUGGAGGAAUACCGGUGGCGAAGGCGGCCUCCUGGCUCGAUACUGACGCUGAGGUGCGAAAGCGUGGGUAGCAAACAGG
rnacentral:rRNA from 1 species